CGCGGCGUUCGUGAUUGUGCGUGAAAAGUUGGGUCUGCUGCUCUUCAUGCCCAUCCCCUACCAGCAGCCCCCUCCUUCCCUGCCCUUAUCCUUACCUCCAUCGGCCUCCCGAGGCUGCAGGAUGAUGAGUGUGGCAAUGAGGAACCAGGCCUCUCCGCCCGCCGGGGCCGAGGUCCAGAGGGGCACGUGGGCCGCCUGCGCAGAGAGGAGGGCCGGGGCCCUUGAGGGCCGCGCCCUUCCCCCCUUCCCUCGGCCCGCGCAGCCUGGCGCUCGAGUAUGACGGCUGUUCCAGGUGAAGAUGGCUGGAUGGCUCAGAUUGCUUUCUGGUGAGUGAGGACCCAAGCCAUGGCAGUGAUUGAAACACAAGCACUUCAGGACAUGGCUGUCACCACAUUUCCUGGCUGUGUCUGGUACUGAAAAAGCUAAGACGUCAGCUUGUUGCUGUCCCUGUGCUUUAAAAUAAGAUGUCAUCAGUGAGCUGUCUUCAUCUGUGAUUGAUGAUCUAUGGAGUUGGGAGAGAAGCUGUGUAGGAAGAAGCUAAAAGACCAGUUUGUGGGGGCCAAGAACAGAGACCAAGUAACAGUAAAUCCCCCUCAGACCACCCCUCCACCCACCCCCCAUGCUCCACCGCCUGCUGCUGGUUCUUGAAACGCCUAUGCUCACCCCUUAUCUGGGGCUGGUCCCCUGUCCACCCUGCCCUGUAGCAUGGAGGACUGUCUUAAUAAACUCUUAAUGUAAUGAA